CCUACGUGAGGCAGCAGUGAGGAAUAUUGGUCAAUGGACGAGAGUCUGAACCAGCCAAGUAGCGUGAAGGAUGACUGCCCUAUGGGUUGUAAACUUCUUUUAUAUGGGAAUAAAAUGUUCCACGUGUGGGAUUUUGUAUGUACUAUAUGCAUAAGGAUCGGCUCACUCCGUGCCAGCAGCCGCGGUAAUACGGAGGAGCCGAGCGUUAUCCGGAUUUAUUGGGUUUAUAGGGAGCGUAGGUGGAUUGUUAAGGCAGUUGUGAAAGUUUGCGGCUCAACCGUAAAAUUGCAGUUGAAACUGGCAGUCUUGAGUACAGUAGAGGUGGGCGGAAUUCGUGGUGUAGCGGUGAAAUGCUUAGAUAUCACGAAGAACUCCGAUGGCGAAGGCAGUUCACUGGACUGCAACUGACACUGAGGCUCGAAAGUGUGGGUAUCAAACAGGAUUAGAUACCCGUGUAGUC
rnacentral:rRNA from 1 species